GCUUUUGUGGUGUAGUGGUUUUAGCAUUUCACUAUGACUCUGGAGACCAAGGUUCAAUUCCCUGUUUGUCCA